rnacentral:lncRNA from 1 species
AUGCUCCUGCUCCUGCCUCAACUUUCCAAAGUGCUGGGAUUAUAAGUGCACGCCAUCAUGCCCGACCUGACUUGAUGACUUCUUAAGAUUCAGUGAAGCCUGACUCAUUGCUCCAGCUGGAGAGUUGAUUAUGACACAAUGCCUGCCUUGAAGAGUACGUCAGUGUUAUAUGUUACAAGUCAAGAGCUUCAAGACAGAAAAGCAGGAUUUGUGUUUCAACUCUAUCACUUCAUAACUGGGCAAAUGAUUGAAACUCUGAGUCUCAGUCCCUUCCACCAUAAAAUGAGGAUGAAAGUGAUAGCCUCUAUGCACAGUUUUUGAGAAGGAUUGCAGAGAAUAAUGUAUGAGAUGAAGUAAUCAAAGCUUAUAUAAAUAUAAGUUGCCAUUUUUUUGUAUAUUUUUCUUCUUUUUUUAUUAUUAUUAUACUUUAAGUUUUA